AUUGAACGCUGGCGGCAGGCCUAACACAUGCAAGUCGAGCGGAUGAAGGGAGCUUGCUCCUGGAUUCAGCGGCGGACGGGUGAGUAAUGCCUAGGAAUCUGCCUGGUCGUGGGGGAUAACGUCCGGAAACGGGCGCUAAUACCGCAUACGUCCUGAGGGAGAAAGUGGGGGAUCUUCGGACCUCACGCUAUCAGAUGAGCCUAGGUCGGAUUAGCUAGUUGGUGGGGUAAAGGCCUACCAAGGCGUCGAUCCGUAACUGGUCUGAGAGGAUGAUCAGUCACACUGGAACUGAGACACGGUCCAGACUCCUACGGGAGGCAGCAGUGGGGAAUAUUGGACAAUGGGCGAAAGCCUGAUCCAGCCAUGCCGCGUGUGUGAAGAAGGUCUUCGGAUUGUAAAGCACUUUAAGUUGGGAGGAAGGGCAGUAAGUUAAUACCUUGCUGUUUUGACGUUACCAACAGAAUAAGCACCGGCUAACUUCGUG
rnacentral:rRNA from 1 species